rnacentral:rRNA from 1 species
UACGUAGGGCGCAAGCGUUGUCCGGAAUACUGGCGUAAAGCGUGCGCAGGCGGCUUGCCAAGUCAGAUGUGAAAGCCCCGGGCUCAACCCCGGGGAACUGCGUUUGAAACUGGCAGGCUAGAGUUUGGCAGAGGGGGGUGGAAUUCCGACGGUGUAGCAGUGAAAUGCGUAGAGAUGUGGAGGAACACCGAUGGCGAAGGCAGCCCCCUGGGCCAAAACUGACGCUCAGGCACGAAAGCGGUGGGAGCAAACAGG